GCAUACAAAGAGAAGCGACCUCGCGAGAGCAAGCGGACCUCAUAAAGUGCGUCGUAGUCCGGAUUGGAGUCUGCAACUCGACUCCAUGAAGUCGGAAUCGCUAGUAAUCGUAGAUCAGAAUGCUACGGUGAAUACGUUCCCGGGCCUUGUACACACCGCCCGUCACACCAUGGGAGUGGGUUGCAAAAGAAGUAGGUAGCUUAACCUUCGGGAGGGCGCUUACCACUUUGUGAUUCAUGACUGGGGUGAAGUCGUAACAAGGUAACCGUAGGGGAACCUGCGGUUGGAUCACCUCCUUA
rnacentral:rRNA from 1 species